rnacentral:lncRNA from 1 species
ACAGAGUUGGCAGAACUGUUUGAAAAUGCUGUGCAAGCGGUCUUCUCUGUCUUCUUUAUGGCCAGUAAAAUUCUCCAGAAGAGAUUUAUGGCAGCCUCACUCCCAGUAGUUUCUGCAUUUAGUGAGAUAAGGAAUGGAUUUUCUUCUGUGUAUUGCUGACACGAACAGGAGACGGAAAUACUGAGUAGAAGAGGGCGGUUCCCUGGCUAAGGCCCCACCCUCAAGCCUGGAUACCCGCGGCCCUAAAUGAGAAGAGGCGUUUCUGUUUGGGGCCCAAAAAGUUGCUUUUUGACCCACCACGCCCCCUAUCCUGCCCCCAUAUAAACCCCAAACCCCAACCUCCAGAGCAUACCAGCAGGUGAGGAGAUACGAGGCAAGCCGACUGACGGCAAAACGACGUAGCAGAGAAAGAGAGAAGAGGAGGGACGUCUGGACACCGAGAGAUGUUUGGCUCGGGGCAGUCAGAGCGGAGUCCAGCCCCUGGGCGGCCCAACUCCAGGGGAAGAUCACCUUCCCACUUCAUCCAUCCCCACCCUUCCAGCUCCCCAUCCAUCCUGCUGAAAGCCAUUUCCACCACUCAAUAAAACCUCGCAUUCAUCCUUCAAGUCCGUGUGUGACCCGAUUUUUCCUGGAUUCUGGAAAAGAGCUCGGAAUACAGAAAGCUGUCCCCUGGUCCUUUGCCCUUGUGAAAAAGCAGAAGGUCCAUUGAGCUGGUUAACACUCCAGCUGUCUGUGGUGGCCAAGCUGAAAGAGCUUUGUAACACUGGGGUUGCAGGCACCCACCUCUAGACGCUACCGCAGAGCCAGAGCCCAAAGCCCUCACCCCGGCCUCUGCACUUGCCCAUCUGCGUGCUCCCCCUCUCGCAAGGGGUUUCUGCAGAGGGGGCUACUGAACAGAUGGAAUCUUGCUCUCUUGCUCAGACUGGAGUGCAGUGGCAUGACCUUGGCUCACUGCAACCUCACCUCUCGGGUUCAAGCGAUUCUGCCUCAGCCUCUCGAGUAGCUGGGACUACAGGUGGGAGACCUCCACAGAACCCUUCCAGCAAGCUGUCUUCUAAAGCAAACAAGAAAAGGAAAGUCUGAGCAGUUUUGAUUAGAUUUCCCAGAAGUCAAAGCAAGGAAAAAUGAAAAAGCUUCAUUUCUCACGUUCUUAAAAGAGAGCACAGAUGUUGCAUCAUCUGGUUAGAUACCCUGAGAAUAAAAUCUGGAUCCAGUGAGAGGAAAGAUUCUGGGUGCUCAUGAAAAAAGAAACAAAACAAAACUUGGGAGCCUCUUGAGAGUGUACAGCAUCAGCCCUUGCCAACUCUUGUUUAUAUGCAUUUAACUUUCAGUUAACCAUGGGAAUAAUUCAUGAAAAUCCAAUCUACAAACAAAGGCCAUCCUAACGUUCAUGUUAUUCUUUUCCCUAAGAAUCUUUCACAAGAGCUAUAAUCAAGUAGAAUUAUGCUUUGAUUUGAAUUCUAAUUCAAUUGAAAAUAAAAAAUGAGGGCCGGACGCGGUGGCUCAUGCCUGUAAUCCCAGCGCUUUGGGAGGCUGAGGUGGACGGAUCACGAGGUCAGGAGAUCGAGACCAUCCUGGCUAACACGGUGAAACCCGAUCCCUACUAAAAAUACAAAAAAUUAGCCGGGCGUGGUGGCAGG